UACGUAGGGGGCAAGCGUUGUCCGGAUUUAUUGGGCGUAAAGCGCGUGUAGGCGGCCAUACAGGUCCGUUGUGAAAACUCGAGGCUUAACCUCGAGACGUCGAUGGAAACCGUAUGGCUAGAGUCCGGAGGAGGAGAGUGGAAUUCCUGGUGUAGCGGUGAAAUGCGCAGAUAUCAGGAAGAACACCCGUGGCGAAGGCGGCUCUCUGGGACGGUACUGACGCUGAGACGCGAAAGCGUGGGGAGCGAACAGG
rnacentral:rRNA from 1 species